CCGACUCUGUUGCCUCCGGGGCGACCCUGCCUUCGGGCGGGGGCUCCGGGUGGACACUUCAAACUCUUGCGUAACUUUGCAGUCUGAGUAAACUUAAUUAAUAAAUUAAAACUUUUAACAACGGAUCUCUUGGUUCUGGCAUCGAUGAAGAACGCAGCGAAAUGCGAUAAGUAAUGUGAAUUGCAGAAUUCAGUGAAUCAUCGAAUCUUUGAACGCACAUUGCGCCCCCUGGUAUUCCGGGGGGCAUGCCUGUUCGAGCGUCAUUUCACCACUCAAGCCUCGCUUGGUAUUGGGCAACGCGGUCCGCCGCGUGCCUCAAAUCGUCCGGCUGGGUCUUCUGUCCCCUAAGCGUUGUGGAAACUAUUCGCUAAAGGGUGUUCGGGAGGCUACGCCGUAAAACAACCCCAUUUCUAAGGUUGACCUCGGAUCAGGUAGGGAUACCCGCUGAACUUAAGCAUAUCAAUAAGCGGAGGAAAAGAAACCAACAGGGAUUGCUCUAGUAACGGCGAGUGAAGCAGCAAUAGCUCAAAUUUGAAAUCUGGCGUCUUCGACGUCCGAGUUGUAAUUUGUAGAGGAUGCUUCUGAGUGGCCACCGACCUAAGUUCCUUGGAACAGGACGUCAUAGAGGGUGAGAAUCCCGUAUGCGGUCGGAAAGGCGCUCUAUACGUAGCUCCUUCGACGAGUCGAGUUGUUUGGGAAUGCAGCUCUAAAUGGGAGGUAAAUUUCUUCUAAAGCUAAAUAUUGGCCAGAGACCGAUAGCGCACAAGUAGAGUGAUCGAAAGAUGAAAAGCACUUUGGAAAGAGAGUUAAAAAGCACGUGAAAUUGUUAAAAGGGAAGGGAUUGCAACCAGACUUGCUCGCGGUGUUCCGCCGGUCUUCUGACCGGUCUACUCGCCGCGUUGCAGGCCAGCAUCGUCUGGUGCCGCUGGAUAAGACUUGAGGAAUGUAG
rnacentral:rRNA from 1 species